rnacentral:rRNA from 1 species
AUUGAACGCUGGCGGCAGGCCUAACACAUGCAAGUCGAACGAGUGGCGGACGGGUGAGUAAUGUCUGGGAAACUGCCUGAUGGAGGGGGAUAACUACUGGAAACGGUAGCUAAUACCGCAUACCAUCGGAUGUGCCCAGAUGGGAUUAGCUAGUAGGUGGGGUAAAGGCUCACCUAGGCGACGAGCCCUAGCUGGUCUGAGAGGAUGACCAGCAACAGUGGAACUGAGAGACGGUCAAGAAGCGUACGGGAGGCAGCAGUGGGGAAGAUUGCACAAUGGGCGCAAGCCUGAUGCAGUCAUGCCGCGUGUAUGAAGAAGGCCUUCGGGUUGGAAAGUACUUUCAGCGGGGAGGCGUUACCCGCAGAAGAAGCACCGGCGAACUCCGUGCCAGCAGCCGCGGUAAUAC